rnacentral:rRNA from 1 species
GGGGGGGCAAGCGUUGUUCGGAAUUACUGGGCGUAAAGGGCGUGUAGGCGGUCCUGCAAGUCUUUCGUGAAAUCCCACAGCUCAACUGUGGAACUGCGAGGGAAACUGCAGGACUUGAGUCCGGGAGAGGAGAGUGGAAUUCCCAGUGUAGCGGUGAAAUGCGUAGAUAUUGGGAGGAACACCGGUGGCGAAGGCGGCUCUCUGGACCGGUACUGACGCUGAGGCGCGAAAGCUAGGGGAGCAAACGGGAUUAGAUACCCCGGUAGUCCUAGCCUUAAACGAUGAGCACUUGGUGUGGCGGGUAUCGACCCCCUGCCGUGCCGAAGCUAACGCAUUAAGUGCUCCGCCUGGGGGAGUACGGUCGCAAGGCUG